AUUGAACGCUGGCGGCAUGCCUUACACAUGCAAGUCGAACGGUAACGGGCCUUCGGGUGCCGACGAGUGGCGAACGGGUGAGUAAUACAUCGGAACGUGCCCGAUCGUGGGGGAUAAUGAGGCGAAAGCUUUGCUAAUACCGCAUACGAUCUACGGAUGAAAGCAGGGGACCGCAAGGCCUUGCGCGGACGGAGCGGCCGAUGGCAGAUUAGGUAGUUGGUGGGAUAAAAGCUUACCAAGCCGACGAUCUGUAGCUGGUCUGAGAGGAUGAUCAGCCACACUGGGACUGAGACACGGCCCAGACUCCUACGGGAGGCAGCAGUGGGGAAUUUUGGACAAUGGGCGCAAGCCUGAUCCAGCCAUGCCGCGUGCAGGAUGAAGGCCUUCGGGUUGUAAACUGCUUCUGUACGGAACGAAAAGCCUUCUUUUAAUACAGGAGGGUCAUGACGGUACCGUAAGAAUAAGCACCGGCUAACUACGUG
rnacentral:rRNA from 1 species